UACGUAGGGUGCGAGCGUUAAUCGGAAUUACUGGGCGUAAAGCGUGCGCAGGCGGUUCGUUGUGUCUGAUGUGAAAGCCCCGGGCUCAACCUGGGAAUGGCAUUGGAAACUGGCGAGCUAGAGUGGAGCAGAGGACAGUGGAAUUCCCGGUGUAGUGGUGAAAUGCGUAGAUAUCGGGAGGAACACCAGUGGCGAAGGCGACUGUCUGGGCUUUAACUGACGCUGAGGCGCGAAGGCCGGGGGAGCAAACAGG
rnacentral:rRNA from 1 species